GACGUAGGGCGCGGGCGUUGUCCGGAUUUAUUGGGCGUAAAGAGCUCGUAGGCGGCUUGUCGCGUCGUCCGUGAAAACCCACGGCUUAACUGUGGGCUUGCGGUCGAUACGGGCAGGCUAGAGUUCGGUAGGGGAGACUGGAAUUCCUGGUGUAGCGGUGAAAUGCGCAGAUAUCAGGAGGAACACCGGUGGCGAAGGCGGGUCUCUGGGCAACAACUGACGCUGAGGAGCGAAAGCGUGGGGAGCGAACAGG
rnacentral:rRNA from 1 species